ACCAUUCAUUCGGACCAAAUAAAUUAAAAAUUUCCAAAAACCAGUUUUUAGGGAUUUUUGUCCCCACUUUUCACGAAAUCCUGAUCUAUGCACUUUUGGGACGUGCAAUCGUGUUCAGUAUCUAAAAAUACAUUGGUAACCACUACGAUAUCAAGAAAAAAGUUUUAUUAUUUUUCGUGAUAUUUUAUUAAACGAUCCGAACCCCGAUGAAAGUUGGACUGAUAAUGGCAAAAAGUGGUCAAUAAAGAAAACAUAUCACUUCUACGAAACUCUGGAAGAAGCCGAAAGUAAAAUCGAAAAUUACAUAAAAAUGUUUAAUUUGGAGACAGACGACGAAAUUAUUUUGAAAAAAACCAGACACCUAAGGGCAAAGAAAAUAAUUUCUUAAAGUGAUUCUGAACAAGAAAUGGAGAAACAUAAUUUAAAGUUAAAAUUUAACCCCUCUAUCCCAUCAGCUUUGAAAGACAAUAAAACCAGUGAAUCGUCAGCAAGUAGGAAGAAUAAAGCAGGUAUAAAUUUGCCACCAUCAAAUGCAGAAGAAGAUAGGAGUGUGACUUUAAAAACG